UACAGAGGGUGCGAGCGUUAAUCGGAUUUACUGGGCGUAAAGCGUGCGUAGGUGGCUUGAUAAGUCAGAUGUGAAAUCCCCGAGCUCAACUUGGGAACUGCAUUUGAUACUGUCUGGCUAGAGUGUGGUAGAGGGUAAUGGAAUGCCAGGUGUAGCGGUGAAAUGCGUAGAUAUCUGGUGGAACAUCAGUGGCGAAGGCGAUUACCUGGACCAACACUGACACUGAGGCACGAAAGCGUGGGUAGCAAACAGG
rnacentral:rRNA from 1 species